AUGAACGCUAGCUACAGGCUUAACACAUGCAAGUCGAGGGGAAACGACAUCGAAAGCUUGCUUUUGAUGGGCGUCGACCGGCGCACGGGUGAGUAACGCGUAUCCAACCUGCCCAUCACUUGGGAAUAACCUUGCGAAAGUAAGACUAAUACCCAAUGAUAUCCCACGAAGGCAUCGGAAUGGGAUUAAAGAUUUAUCGGUGAUGGAUGGGGAUGCGUCUGAUUAGCUUGUUGGCGGGGUAACGGCCCACCAAGGCAACGAUCAGUAGGGGUUCUGAGAGGAAGGUCCCCCACAUUGGAACUGAGACACGGUCCAAACUCCUACGGGAGGCAGCAGUGAGGAAUAUUGGUCAAUGGGCGAGAGCCUGAACCAGCCAAGUAGCGUGCAGGAAGACGGCCCUAUGGGUUGUAAACUGCUUUUAUAAGGGAAUAAAGUGGGUCACGUGUGACUUUUUGCAUGUACCUUAUGAAUAAGGACCGGCUAAUUGCGUG
rnacentral:rRNA from 1 species